AUUGUAUGAUCUUUUCUACUAAGUUGACACAUGUACAGGGCAUGAAAAUGGUAGGCCCCGCCAUGAGGAUUAUGAUUCUAGAAAAUCAGGUUGAUAUGCUGACUAGGUUAGCAUAUAUACAUGAUUGUCUACAAAUUACUGGGUUUCAAGCACUCUCUCUCUAUAUAUAUAUAAUUUAGAAGGUCUGCAUGUAUUUAUGACAAAGCUAUGAUGAUGAUGAUUAUUAUUAUCUUUAGCUAAUGGCUACUCUGCUGAGUUCUUAAAUACAGGAUUCAGUGCGCGUGCUUGACUGUAACAACUGUAUUUUACUUCAUUUGCUAUCACAUUGAUGGCUCUAUCAUAUCUGAUGAUACAAGAAAGUGAAUCCUAUUGGCAUUCUGAAUCCUAAGUGGCAGCAUGAAAUCUUCUAGUAAACCUCAAAAAUUCAUAAAACAGAUCUAUGGGUCUUAAAUUUUCUGUUGUUCUGCCAUUGUACGUGGUAAACCAUCUUCUUUCUACUUUUCUGUUUGCUAUUUUACCUUUUUAUUAUGGAAUUUUACUAAAUUAAAAUAUCUUUCUAGCCACGCAAAAUCUAAAAUUCAGUUCCGAUUUUACUUGGGUUUCCCCCUAGUUAAUGGAAGUUGCUGACAUCAUAAGACUAUAUUCAUAAGAGGAUUGCAAGUAUGAGCAUUAUGCAAAGACAUUGAUGGCUAAGUUGUUGAUUGUGGCUGAAAAAAUCCAACAGGUAGUUGGAAUCACGGGCUUGAUUCUGACAAAGCUUGAUGGUUCUGCUCGAGGUGGCUGUGUUGUGAGUGUGGUGGAUGAACUUGGCAUUCCUGUAAAGUUUGUGGGCGUUGGGGAAAGGGUGGAUGACCUUCAGCCAUUUGAUGCAGAGGUCUUUGUUGAUGCCAUUUUCUCCUGAAAAUUGAAGAGGGUGCCUUAGAUGGUGGACUUGACAUUCCUCAUAGUGACAAGAGGUUUGUUGGUUUCAAAAAGGAGGACAAACAACUUGAUCCUGAGGUUCACCGAAAGUAUAUAUUCAGUGGUCAUGUUGCUUCUUUCAUGAGGAUGAAGGAAUGGGUAUUGUAUGUUGGAACAAAAGGUUGCUGAUAACAGAAUGUUCACAUGAACUCUUGAAACAAGCAGGAAGCAGCUGCAUGCAAUUCUAUUCAAGUGAGGAGCCUUGAGCCUAGGGGCUUUUUUAGUGGGGUACACUGGACUUAGAUUGAAAAAAUAGAGAAAAAAACCUUUUAAAUCACAUUUAAGAUGGCCCUCAUUAGCUGAGAUUCUUUGACAUUAACAGAGCUUGUGUAGGAGAACUACAUCUCACAUGGAGAAACAGGUACUAAAAGGUAGACUGAACAAGUAAUGACUUUUGCUGUCACCUUUUCCAAUUUGGCAGCUACCUUAACUGUUGGCAUCUACCAGAAAAUCAUUGUUUACUUUUUGUCAUAGCUAGACUAGAAGAAAAGCUCUUGGACAUGGUAUGAACCGCGUCUCUCUUUCUUUCUUUUUCUUUUUUAUAUGCUUUUAUAUGACAGGAGAUAUCUGUAUUUGGCAGAUAAUAUGCUAUGCCAAUUUGUUGAUCCCAUGUUCUGCACCCAUAUGGAUUAAAUCAACUAUUUGACAUUGAAAUAGACAAGGUAUAUACUCCCGUAUGGAUGCUUUUUCCAUGCUUUCUAGAUCAUACUGUCUACACUAGAAUCUUGCACAGAAGGAAGGGAAAAAAAAACUUUUUUCUCGAUUGCGAGACCUGUCUCUUACUUUAGAGGUGUUAUAUGAUGCUUGAUUGGGAGAAACAAUAUGGAUUUGUUC